AUUGAACGCUGGCGGCAUGCCUUACACAUGCAAGUCGAACGGUAACAGGUCUUCGGAUGCUGACGAGUGGCGAACGGGUGAGUAAUACAUCGGAACGUGCCCGAGAGUGGGGGAUAACGAAGCGAAAGCUUUGCUAAUACCGCCUACGAUCCCAGGAUGAAAGCAGGGGACCGCAAGGCCUUGCGCUCACGGAGCGGCCGAUGGCAGAGUAGGUAGUUGGUGGGAUAAAAGUUUACCAAGCCGACGGUCUGUAGCUGGUCUGAGAGGACGACCAGCCACAAUGGGACUGAGACACGGCCCAGACUCCUACGGGAGGCAGCAGUGGGGAAUUUUGGACAAUGGGCGCAAGCCUGAUCCAGCCAUGCCGCGUGCAGGAUGAAGGCCUUCGGGUUGUAAACUGCUUUUGUACGGAACGAAAAGACUCUGGUUAAUACCUGGGGUCCAUGACGGUACCGUAAGAAUAAGCACCGGCUAACUACGUGCCAGCCGCCGCCGUAA
rnacentral:rRNA from 1 species